rfam:TPA: Bos taurus chromosome 6, whole genome shotgun sequence.
UCUCUGAUAGCUCAGUAGGUAAAGAAUCUGCCUGCAAUGCAGGAGACCCUGGUUCAAUUCCUGGCUAAGGAA